AUGUUCUCUUUGGCAGCCUAUAUACUAAAAUUCGAAUGAUACAGAGAAGAUUAGCAUGGCACCAGUACAAGCUGGUUUGGGGUGAUGGGAAAGCUCCACAGUACAG